ensembl:lncRNA
CUGGCCCCUGAAGUGUAGACUCAUUUAUUUAUCUAACUAAUCAAUACAAAUAUAUAAAAAUAUGGUAUACAUAUUCAUUCUGUUAUAAAAUAAACCUUGCUAUGAUCCUUAAUAACUCCCUUUCUUUCUCUCCCUGUACAUAAUCUAUGGCCAAGUUCUGUCAGUUCUAUCUAGAAAAUGUUUCCCAAAGCCAUCUACUUUCUCUAUUUUCAUUGCCAUUUAUGCCAACCCUUCAUAUGGUGGAUGCUGUGAUGCAUGAUCCAGAACUCCCUUUAAGAUUUUCCCAGGUGCUCAGCUAUCAGCCCGCUUUAGGGACUGCCACUACUGAAGAAGCUUACAUCACCUAAGGUUACCCUUUUUCCCUUCCAGGGGCAGCUAUAUCCAGUGACUGAUCCACAUGGUGGUGUAAAAUCCCGCUCCCCUUGUCCAUGUCAACUCUAAGGGGUCAUCUAACCUUCAGAACACCUUUCAGGAUGAUCCUUGAACAUUUCCUCAAUCUCCUCUUUUACCAAUACACACACACUGUCACACACACACACACACCAGACACACACACACACACACACACACACACACACGUCUGUGAGAUUUUGAAUGGUAAUGCAUUAAAACUAUUUGUAAAUGUUCUAGUUCUGAGAGGAACUGGGCUCAACUACAUGGUUUUCUAUUCUAAUUUUUUGAAUGCUUGAAGGCAGGCAUUGUUAGGGGCUGCAGUCAUCUAAAAGCUCAAAUGGGUUGCAUAUCCUAAGAUGAACUCAUUCAAGUGGCUGGAUGAUCAUGCUAGCAUUGGCUGGAAAUGUAGGUGGAGCUUGUGAAUAUGGUCUUUCCGUGGACUUUUCACACUAAGGCAAAUGGAUUCCAAAAAGGAAUCCUCCAAGAACAAAUACUCCAAGAUAUCCGGACAGAGGCUGUAAUGAUGCUUAUAUGAGUUUGAGUCAUCGAUAAUAGACUGUCAUAUCUCCCACGUUCUAUUGGCCAAAUGAGUUUGUUAAGGUCAACAAGGAUUCAAGGGAAGGAUAAUGAGAUCCCAACUUUGGAUGGAGAAGUGUCAAGGUCCUUUCCAGAAGAUCAUGCAGGAUGGGAGAUACUGUGGCUCUCCUUGGUUACAGUCUGCCAGAAUCCACCUCCUCAGUCCACAACAAUUCACAUCCCUCCCACCUGCAAAAUACACUGACUGAUCCUCUAAGUUCCCUGUAAUUUUAUCCCAAUGCAAUGAUCUUGAAAUCUAGGAUCUCUUCAGACAAAUCAAAUGCAGAUAUAGAUGAGGUUUAUGGGUACAAUUCCUCAAGAACAUUUUCUUCCUGUCUGAAAACCGGUAAACCAGUUAGCUGCUCCUGUGUGCACACCCAGCAUACAAGGGUGAUCAGGAAAAGAAUUGUUAUUGGUUAAAUUGUGCCCCUCGAAAUUCAUAUGUUGAAUUUGUAAUCCCCAGUACCUCAGAAUGUGAAGUUAUUUGGAAGUAGAGUCAUUGCAUAUGUAAAUAGGAUGAGGUCAUACUAUAGUAGGGUGGGCUUUUAAUCCAAAACGCCUGGCAUUCUUAUAAAAAGGGGAAAUUUUGACACAGAUAUACAUAGAAGAAAGACAAUCUGAAGAGGAACAGGGAGAAGAUGGUCAUUCAUCUUCUCCAAGGAGAGAGGCUUGCAACAGAUUCCUUCCUCACAGUCCUCAGAAGGAACCAAUUCUGCCAACACCUUGAUUUUGGACUUCCAGCCUCCAGAACUGUGAAGCAAUAAAUGUCUGCUGUCUAAGCCACCUAGUUGCUGGCACUUUGUUAUAACAGCCCUGGCAAACUAAUACAGCAAUAACUGAAGCUAAGCAUACACCUGAAAUCCCAGCUACUGGGGAAGUUGAGGCAGGAGCCCUUCUUGAGCCCUGGAGUUUGAGGCCAGCCUGAACAACAUGGAAAGACUCUGUCUCUAAAAUAUAAAAAUAAAAAUAAAACUAAUUAAAAUAGACACUCUCAUUGAAAAAGAAAAGAAACAGGGGACAUAUAGCAGCCAUUAGUCCACAGCAAUUCCAAAAUUUCAUCAGAAAUGUAUCACUAAUAUCUUAAUUAGAUGCUCCUUGGAUCUAGUUUUUUGUUGAUCUUGGUUCUGCUCUCAGGACUCUAAGCUCUACACUCUGAAAUAUCUCUUCUUUCUUAUAAGAAAUGGCUUAUGGCUUACGUUAGGCCGGACACGGUGGCUCACGCCUGUAAUCUUAGCACUUUGGGGGGCCGAGGCGGGCAGAUCAUCUGAGGUCGGGAGUUCGAGUCCAACCCGGUCAACAUGGUGAAACCCCAUCUCUACUAAAAAUACAAAAAUUAGCCGGGUGCAGUGGCUCAUACCUGUAAUCCCAGCCACUCAGGAGGUUGAGGCAAGAGAAUCGCUUGAACCCGGGAUGUGGAGGUUACAGUGAACCAAGAUGGUGCCAAUGCACUCCAGCCUGGGCAACAGAGCGAGACUCUGUCUCAAAAAAAAAAAAAGAACAGAAAAAGAAAAGAAAAAGAAAAAGAAACGGCUUAUUUUUUGCAGAUGAGUAACUUUCUCUAAUUGUUUCCUUCAAGAAGUUAGGAGUUCAAAGAUACUUUUGUCUCUAUCCUUUUUAAUCCAAGCAUCGAAUGCUUCUGCUAGUAUAAUUAUAGUAAAACAUCUUAUAGGUUUUCUGUAAAUCUUAUUAGGGUUCAUUCCAUUAAAUAAAAUCCAUUCCUCCACAUUUCUGGCUUAGGCUGAGAAUCUGGAUGCUGUGAGACAAAACCCUUAUAUUUCUUAGACACCUUUUGGUUUCGUUGAAAGGGUUUAUGAGGCAUAUUCUUAAAUUAUUUUGAAGUUUUAAUAAAGGGUCC